rnacentral:rRNA from 1 species
GACGAACCGUGCGAACGUUGUUCGGAAUCACUGGGCUUAAAGGGCGCGUAGGCGGCAUAGCAAGUCCGGGGUGAAAGCCCUCGGCUCAACCGGGGAAGUGCCUUGGAAACUGCUGUGCUCGAGGGAGGUAGGGGUCGAGGGAACUUCUGGUGGAGCGGUGAAAUGCGUUGAUAUCAGAAGGAACGCCGGUGGCGAAAGCGCUCGACUGGACCUUUUCUGACGCUGAGGCGGACGAAAGCU